GAACUUAACACAUUUUUUUUGUAAGGAAAACCUCAUAUCAUCAUUGAUCGUCCCUCAUCUGGGGCCACAAUCAAGAGGAGCCUGAGAAAAUAAGAAAAAAAAAGGGUCGACAAAUAAGAGCAGGAACCCUUUGAACUCACCCUCACAAAUACGAAAAAAGCUGGACCAUCGAUCCUCAGGUCUCUCUCGAACCCCACUCUUUCUUUGUCUCUCGUCUAGGAUUGAAGUAUUAUUUCCAUUCGUUUGUGGGGUUUGUUCUCUCAAUCAGA
rnacentral:lncRNA from 1 species